rnacentral:rRNA from 1 species
GACGAACGCUGGCGGCGUGCCUAACACAUGCAAGUCGAGGGGCAGCAUAGGGUAGCAAUACUCUGAUGGCGACCGGCAAACGGGUGAGUAACGCGUAUGCAACCUACCCUGUACAGGGGGAUAACCCGGAGAAAUUCGGACUAAUAUCCCGUAAUAAUAUCCGGAGGCAUCUUUGGAUAUUUAAAGUUCCGACGGUACGGGAUGGGCAUGCGUAACAUUAACUGGUUGGUAAGGUAACGGCUUACCAAGGCUAUGAUGUUUAGGGGUCCUGAGAGGGUGGUCCCCCACACUGGUACUGAGACACGGACCAGACUCCUACGGGAGGCAGCAGUGAGGAAUAUUGGUCAAUGGGCGCAAGCCUGAACCAGCCAUCCCGCGUGCAGGAAGACGGCCCUAUGGGUUGUAAACUGCUUUUCCAGGGAGAGAAACUUACGCACGUGUUGCGUGACUGACGGUACCCUGGGAAUAAGCAUCGGCUAACUCCGUG